rnacentral:ncRNA from 1 species
UAUUUAGAGAGUUUGAUCCUGGCUCAGGAUGAACGCUGGCGGCGUGCUUAACACAUUCAAGUCGAACGAAGCUACAUUGGUUAAUCCUUCGGGAAGCGCUGAUAUAGCUUAGUGGCGGACGGGUGAGUAACGCGUGAGUAACCUGCCUUAAUGAGGGGGAUAACACCUGGAAACGGGUGCUAAUACCGCAUAAAGUAUUGAUUUCGCAUGGGAAUAAUACCAAAGCUGAGGCGCAUUAAGAUGGGCUCGCGUCCGAUUAGACAGUUGGUGAGGUAACGGCUCACCAAAUCAACGAUCGGUAGCCGGACUG